rnacentral:SRP_RNA from 1 species
GCCAGGCGAGGUGGCACGUGGCUAUAGUCCCAGCUACUCAGGAGGCUGAGGCUGGAGGAUCGCCUGAGUCCAGGAGUUCUGGGCUGUAGUGCGCUAUGCCGAUCGGGUGUCCGCACUAAGUUCGCCAUCAAUCUGGUGACCUCCCAGGAGCGGGGGACUACAAGGUUGCCUAAGGCGGGGUGAACCGGCCCAGGUCAGAAACAGAGCAGGUCAAAACUCCCGUGCUUGGCCGGGCGUGGUGGCUCACGCCUGUAAUCCCAGCACUUUGGGAGGCCUAGGCGGGUGGAUCAUGAGGUCAAGAGAUCGAGACCAUCCUGGUCAACAUGGUGAAACACCGUCUCU